rnacentral:siRNA from 1 species
AUAGCGGCGUAACACAAACGACA